rnacentral:rRNA from 1 species
AUUGAACGCUGGCGGCAGGCCUAACACAUGCAAGUCGAACGCGUGGCGGACGGGUGAGUAAUGUAUGGGAAACUGCCCGAUGGCGGGGGAUAACUACUGGAAAGGGUAGCUAAUACCGCAUACCAUCGGAUCUGCCCAGAUGGGAUUAGCUAGUAGGUGGGGUAACGGCUAACCUAGGCAACGAUCCCUAGCUGGUCUGCGAGGAUGACCAGCCACACUGGAACUGAGACACGGUCCAGACUCCUACGGGAGGCAGCAGUGGGGAAUAUUGAACAAUGGUCGAAAGCCUGAUGCAGCCAUGCCGCGUGUAUGAAGAAGGCCUUCGGGUUGUAAAGUACUUUCAGCGAGGAGGCGUUACUCGCAGAAGAAGCACCGGCUAACUCCGUGCCAGCCGCCGCGGUAAUAC